rnacentral:rRNA from 1 species
GAUGAACGCUGGCGGCGUGCCUAAUACAUGCAAGUCGAACGCUGAAGGAAGGAGCUUGCUCUUUCCGGGUGAGUUGCGAACGGGUGAGUAACGCGUAGGUAACCUGCCUGGUAGCGGGGGAUAACUAUUGGAAACGAUAGCUAAUACCGCAUAACAGUAGAUGUUGCAUGAUAUCUACUUAAAAGGUGCAAUUGCACCACUACCAGAUGGACCUGCGUUGUAUUAGCUAGUUGGUGAGGUAACGGCUCACCAAGGCGACGAUACAUAGCCGACCUGAGAGGGUGAUCGGCCACACUGGGACUGAGACACGGCCCAGACUCCUACGGGAGGCAGCAGUAGGGAAUCUUCGGCAAUGGACGGAAGUCUGACCGAGCAACGCCGCGUGAGUGAAGAAGGUUUUCGGAUCGUAAAGCUCUGUUGUAAGAGAAGAACGAGUGUGAGAGUGGAAAGUUCACACUGUGACGGUAUCUUACCAGAAAGGGACGGCUAACUACGUG